rnacentral:rRNA from 1 species
GACGAACGCUGGCGGCGUGCUUAACACAUGCAAGUCGAACGGAAAGGCCCUGCUUUUGUGGGGUGCUCGAGUGGCGAACGGGUGAGUAACACGUGAGUAACCUGCCCUUGACCUUGGGAUAACUUCAGGAAACUGGGGCUAUACCGGAUAGGAGCUCCUGCUGCAUGGUGGGGGUUGGAAAGUUUCGGCGGUUGGGGAUGGACUCGCGGCUUAUCAGCUUGUUGGUGGGGUAGUGGCUUACCAAGGCUUUGACGGGUAGCCGGCCUGAGAGGGUGACCGGCCACAUUGGGACUGAGAUACGGCCCAGACCCCUACGGGAGGCAGCAGUGGGGAAUAUUGCACAAUGGGCGGAAGCCUGAUGCAGCAACGCCGCGUGCGGGAUGACGGCCUUCGGGUUGUAAACCGCUUUCGCCUGUGACGAAGCGUGAGUGACGGUAAUGGGUAAAGAAGCACCGGCUAACUACGUG